rnacentral:lncRNA from 1 species
CCCGACCCGCGCUGACACCGCGCCGAAACAUCGCGCUCGGCCGAAUAUGCCCGACUACCCGGCAACGACGCUCGGGCACGAUCGGCCGCCGAACCGAGCUAGCGGCCCCGCCGAAAUUAUUCGGCAAACGCCGCAUAAUCACGAUUAAUUCCGAUUAAAAAGCGGAAUUAACUCCGAUUAAGGGCGAAGAAAACCGAAGCCCCAAAAUCUCGGGUAUAUAACCCCGGCAAAUUUUAACGAGAGGGAAGUCUCCAGAGUUCCGUCUCCACGACUAGUUCUUGCCGAGAGAGGAUCAACCGAGAAGCUUCUGCCGAAAUUCGACACCAGGAAGGCAAGAGCUGAUCAGCUGGGAGUUGACGCGUCGGUCCAGCACACACGGAAUACUCCCAUCGCCCGCACCCCUCGACCCCCGGGGCGAUCCACGCUGCGGCCGAGGACAAAAGCGAGCGCGACGUGUCGCGACGCGUUCUUACACCGUUUUUUUCAACCCGUCGUCAAGUCGCGUGCCGAAUCACCCAAGCUAGCGCUUUAAACCACAACGGAAUACACACCGCGCGGUCACUAAUCAGUGGCUAGACCCUCAUUGCGGAUCAAGCGCCGGCUGAAAUAAUUACCGAAAUAAGCUCCAAGCAAAUCGCUCACCUACCACGGUGACCCCGCGGGGCUCGUAGCGUCCGCGGAAACGAUUCACGCAAUCCUCUAACACCCAAACAUUGGGACGUCGCGUCGCAACACGCGGUCGUAGCAUGCGACCAAAUAAAGACUUAUUGUGUUAUA